GUGCUCACUUCGGCAGCACAUACACUAAAAUUGGAACGAUACGGAGAUUAGCACGGUUCCUGCACAAGGAUGACAAAGAAAUUCGUGAAGUGUUCCACGUUAAA